rnacentral:rRNA from 1 species
CGGCGAACUCUGCGCAAGCAGCCGCGGGAACACGUAGGGGGGAAGCGUUGUCCGGAAUUAUGGGGCGUAAAGGGCUCGGAGGCGGUCGGGUACGUCUGCUGUGAAAACCCGGGGCUUAACCCUGGGCUUGCAGUGGAUACGGGCAGACUAGAGGCAGGUAGGGGAGAAUGGAAUUCCCGGUGUAGCGGUGAAAUGCGCAGAUAUCGGGAGGAACACCGGUGGCGAAGGCGGUUCUCUGGGCCUGACCUGACGCUGAGGAGCGAAAGCGUGGGGAGCGAACAGGAUUAGAUACCCCGGAGUC